AUGGCGGUAAUCACGCAGCGGGGAGAGUUUGCAGGAUGAAAUGUUUGCGACUGUGAGACAACUGUAGCAAAUAAAACAUGACAGAGCAGGAUGGGCGCCUUUCUGGAGCAUUCCGCGACGAGCGACUGAAAGCACAGGCCUCCGUUUUUUUCCCCAAAGAAGCCGAAACUGGGAAAGAAGGAAGUGAGAUAAAUGUAAUAAAGUAAUGUGGCCUGCAUGACCCACCCAGAAAGGCGGCAGACUCUCCAAGGAGGCGGCGAAGUUACAGGACUUCAGCAGAGAGCAAACUAAUCCAGCGUCAUUUCAAUUAGGAGACGGUCCUAAGCUCCGUACUAAAUUUAAUUCCUCCAAAUUAAAUUUACGAACCUCUUCAUAUACACAGACUUAUAUUACAAUCUAGGCAACAAGAGGGAAUAUUGAUGAAAUCCUCUUGCGUGACCCGCAUUUAAACUGUAAACAUCUUUCUUUGGUGACAAUUUCAUCUUUUAAAGCUUCUCUCUCUCUUGCUCACUCAAAACAAAUUUUGUUGCACCGUAUGCAGCAGAAGAAAAUGCAGACAAUUGUGCAGCAAUGUAAUUAUACAAACGAGAAAAAGCUGUGUGCAGUGAGGCCGGCUGAGCCGCUUCUUCCCUUGCGAUUUCCUGCUAGAAUGACCAUGACAGAAAUAAAACUGCUGACUGCA